AGAGCGCUCAUUUUUUCCUGUGACUGUUACAGACGUGGGGAAAUGCAGAGAAUAGCUAUAGUUCCCUGUGGAUUUGCUCCAGUUCUCUUCAAAGGCAGAAUGUGGUAGAGCCAGCCCCUUGAGUUCCUCAGAAUGCUUUUCUAACGUGUGUGCACCAUAGAGUUUGGAGACUCUAGUGGCAAUUUAUGCCCUGGAACUCAAGGCAACCUUCACUAAGACUGAUGGUAGCACAGACACUUCAUCACUCCUGUGUUCAGGUUUACUUAUCUUACCAGUAUUAAGUAUGUUCAGAAAGCUUACUUGUCCAAUAUUUUUCUUGCUGCCUUUGCAGGAGUCAAACUUGCUGCCUGUUUUGUUGUGUAGACUUAGUAAUAUCUACCUCUGCCUGAUGCAGCUCGCUAGGAUCCAGGCUGGAAAAGACAGAAGCCGGCAACAGUAGUGUGAUAUCCUUUCUAGUGCUGUGCAGUUUGACAGGCUGUGCCUUUCUGCUUUGUUCUCUUUAAUGGUUUCUCAGUCCAUGUGACGGAGAGAUGGGAUGGAUAUCCAUCUCAAGGUACAAUAUAUGAUUAAUAGUGUUGUCUGUAUUCAGAGGUCUUCAACUUUCCAAACUGAGCUGGUUGCAAAAUGAAUGGCAAAUAUUAGAAACAUUGGUACAGCUAACUGGGCCCUGCAUUCAUUUUCAU